CGUCUCCUACGGGACGCAGCAGUAGGGAAUUUUCGUCAAUGGGCGCAAGCCUGAACGAGCAAUGCCGCGUGAACGAGGAAGGUCUUAGGAUCGUAAAGUUCUGUUGAAGGGGAAAAAGAGCGGAGAGAGGAAAUGGUCUCCGAUUGAUAUUACCCUUCGAGGAAGUCACGGCUAACUACAUGCCAGCAGCCGCGGUAAUACGUAGGUGGCGAGCGUUAUCCGGAAUGAUUGGGAGUAAAGGGUGCGUAGGCGGCCUGCUAAGACUUGAGUG
rnacentral:rRNA from 1 species